rnacentral:rRNA from 1 species
AGAGUUUGAUCAUGGCUCAGAUUGAACGCUGGCGGAAUGCUUUACACAUGCAAGUCGAACGGCAGCACGGGAGCUUGCUCCUGGUGGCGAGUGGCGAACGGGUGAGUAACAUAUCGGAACGUAUCCAAUAAUGGGGGAUAACUAGUCGAAAGAUUAGCUAAUACCGCAUACGCCCUGAGGGGGAAAGCUGGGGAUCGUAAGACCUGGCGUUAAUGGAGCGGCCGAUAUCUGAUUAGCUAGUUGGUGGGGUAAAGGCCCACCAAGGCGACGAUCAGUAGCUGGUCUGAGAGGACGACCAGCCACACUGGAACUGAGACACGGUCCAGACUCCUACGGGAGGCAGCAGUGGGGAAUUUUGGACAAUGGGCGCAAGCCUGAUCCAGCCAUUCCGCGUGAGUGAAGAAGGCCUUCGGGUUGUAAAGCUCUUUCGCAAGGGAAGAAAACUUACUUUCUAAUAAAGAGUGAGGUUGACGGUACCUUGAUAAGAAGCACCGGCUAACUACGUGCCAGCAGCCGCGGUAAUACGUAGGGUGCGAGCGUUAAUCGGAAUUACUGGGCGUAAAGCGUGCGCAGGCGGUCUUGAAAGUCAGAUGUGAAAUCCCCGGGCUCAACCUGGGAACUGCGUUUGAAACUCCAAGACUAGAGUAUGGCAGAGGGGGGUAGAAUUCCACGUGUAGCAGUGAAAUGCGUAGAGAUGUGGAGGAAUACCAAUGGCGAAGGCAGCCCCCUGGGUCAAUACUGACGCUCAUGCACGAAAGCGUGGGGAGCAAACAGGAUUAGAUACCCUGUAGUCCACGCCCUAAACGAUGUCUACUAGUUGUUGGGAGAGUAAAAUCUCUUAGUAACGCAGCUAACGCGUGAAGUAGACCGCCUGGGGAGUACGGUCGCAAGAUUAAAACUCAAAGGAAUUGACGGGGGCCCGCACAAGCGGUGGAUUAUGUGGAUUAAUUCGAUGCAACGCGAAAAACCUUACCUGGCCUUGACAUGUACCGAAUUUGGCAGAGAUGCCUUAGUGCUCGAAAGAGAGCGGUAACACAGGUGCUGCAUGGCUGUCGUCAGCUCGUGUCGUGAGAUGUUGGGUUAAGUCCCGCAACGAGCGCAACCCUUGCCAAUAAUUGCCAUCAUUUAGUUGGGCACUUUAUUGGGACUGCCGGUGACAAACCGGAGGAAGGUGGGGAUGACGUCAAGUCCUCAUGGCCCUUAUGGCCAGGGCUUCACACGUAAUACAAUGGUCGGUACAGAGGGUUGCCAACCCGCGAGGGGGAGCUAAUCUCAGAAAGCCGAUCGUAGUCCGGAUUGAAGUCUGCAACUCGACUUCAUGAAGU